ensembl:miRNA
UACUUGGGAGGCUGAGGCUAGAAGAUUGCUUGAGCCUGGGAGGUCAAGGCUGCAGUGAGUCGUGAUCACA